UGGGGAAUUUUGGACAAUGGGGGAAACCCUGAUCCAGCCAUCCCGCGUGUGCGAUGAAGGCCUUCGGGUUGUAAAGCACUUUUGGCUGGAAAGAAACGUCAUGGGUUAAUACCCCGUGAAACUGACGGUACCUGCAGAAUAAGCACCGGCUAACUACGUGCCAGCAGCCGCGGUAAUACGUAGGGUGCAAGCGUUAAUCGGAAUUACUGGGCGUAAAGCGUGCGCAGGCGGUUCGGAAAGAAAGAUGUGAAAUCCCAGAGCUCAACUUUGGAACUGCAUUUUUAACUACCGGGCUAGAGUGUGUCAGAGGGAGGUGGAAUUCCGCGUGUAGCAGUGAAAUGCGUAGAUAUGCGGAGGAACACCGAUGGCGAAGGCAGCCUCCUGGGAUAACACUGACGCUCAUGCACGAAAGCGUGGGGAGCAAACAGGA
rnacentral:rRNA from 1 species